rnacentral:snoRNA from 1 species
AACCCAUAGUGAGGACACUUUCUCAAUAAGUCCUUGUAUCUCUCCCACGCAUCGUAAAGUGUUUCUAAAUCCAUCUGCACAAAAGAAGAGAUAUCAUUACGCAAUUU